GACGAACCGUGCGAACGUUAUUCGGAAUCACUGGGCUUAAAGCGCGUGUAGGCGGAUGGGAACGUCGGCUUCUGAAAGCCCCCGGCUCAACCGGGGAAGUGGGGCCGAAACGACCCGUCUCGAGGGACGUAGGGGGAUCUGGAACUUCCGGUGGAGCGGUGAAAUGCGUUGAGAUCGGAAGGAACGCCCGUGGCGAAAGCGAGAUCCUGGACGUUUUCUGACGCUGAGACGCGAAAGCUAGGGGAGCAAAUGGG
rnacentral:rRNA from 1 species